rnacentral:rRNA from 1 species
AAUAGAUACCCUGGUAGUCCACGCCGUAAACGAUGAGUGCUAAGUGUUAGAGGGUUUCCGCCCUUUAGUGCUGCAGCUAACGCAUUAAGCACUCCGCCUGGGGAGUACGGUCGCAAGACUGAAACUCAAAGGAAUUGACGGGGGCCCGCACAAGCGGUGGAGCAUGUGGUUUAAUUCGAAGCAACGCGAAGAACCUUACCAGGUCUUGACAUCCUCUGACAACUCUAGAGAUAGAGCGUUCCCCUUCGGGGGACAGAGUGACAGGUGGUGCAUGGUUGUCGUCAGCUCGUGUCGUGAGAUGUUGGGUUAAGUCCCGCAACGAGCGCAACCCUUGAUCUUAGUUGCCAGCAUUAAGUUGGGCACUCUAAGGUGACUGCCGGUGACAAACCGGAGGAAGGUGGGGAUGACGUCAAAUCAUCAUGCCCCUUAUGUCUUGGGCUACACACGUGCUACAAUGGUUGGUACAAAGGGCUGCAAGCCAGCGAUGGUUAGCCAAUCCCAUAAAGCCAAUCUCAGUUCGGAUUGGU